CACCAGCAUUGAUACUCCAUCACUUAUGUACUGCAUCAAGCCGUCCUCAGAGGUGAGGAAUGUGCUGUCAAGACUAGAAGCAUGUGUCCCUCUCUCCAUUGCAAGAUGGGACAUAGAGAGGAGAAAAGUGGCAGACAGAAGGCUAAUCUCAACUGGAAACCAGAAGGCUAGAAAUCUUAUUGAUGUUAUGUCCAGGGAUAUAGAGCAUAUGAAGGAUGCAGAGAGUGGGUCAAAUGGAAGGAAUGUAGCAGAACAUGUAAACUUGAGUAAGUAUUUGAUCUCUUUGAGCCUACGUUUUUCAAUAUUUGGAUUCCAACAGCCAGCCCAGUGCUGACAGAGUCAGCAAGUUCUUGUUGAGCAGGAUUGUGUCCAUAAAAUAAUGUAUAUAAAAUAGACAAGCUCUAUAGCUCCUUUCAAUUACGACCUUCUCUGACUACUAUUUUCUUGAUUGUCCUCAAAUAUUAUUAAAUAAUCAUGCCCUGACCAUAAUAAAGAAGACUUCAUCAUUGCUGAGGAUGAAUUUCACACCCCAGUCUUUAACUCUAUGUUCUGCUAUCUCUUCCAUCUAAAAAUACAAAAACUAAUUGUUCAG
rnacentral:lncRNA from 1 species